GUGGGGAAUAUUGCGCAAUGGGGGAAACCCUGACGCAGCAACGCCGCGUGAAGGAUGAAGGUUUUCGGAUUGUAAACUUCUUUUGUCGAGGACGAAACAAAUGACGGUACUUGACGAAUAAGCCACGGCUAACUACGUGCCAGCAGCCGCGGUAAUACGUAGGUGGCAAGCGUUAUCCGGAUUUACUGGGUGUAAAGGGCGUGUAGGCGGGAAAGCAAGUCAGAUGUGAAAACUAUGGGCUCAACCCAUAGCCUGCAUUUGAAACUGUUUUUCUUGAGUACUGGAAAGGCAGAUGGAAUUCCUAGUGUAGCGGUGAAAUGCGUAGAUAUUAGGAGGAACACCAGUGGCGAAGGCGAUCUGCUGGACAGCAACUGACGCUGAGGCGCGAAAGCGUGGGGAGCAAACAGGAUUAGAAACCCUUGUAGUCC
rnacentral:rRNA from 1 species